ensembl:lncRNA
GACUAUCGUCAGCGACGCACGGCUCGGCCCACUCUGAUCGGAUUUUCUCUGCUUGAGACAUCUUUGUUCAGAUAGACCCUUUUGCUCUCCUUUCCACGGAUUAAUAUUGUGACAGUCUAAACUCUACCUCUGUCCACCAUAUGCAAUGUGUUUUAAAUGCUGUGCUGUUGGUCAUAUGCCUCGUGCCUCGCGCGCUUCGGCUGCAGCCAAGGUGAGGAGGACGACGAUUCUUCCGAUGGCAACGACUCUGGCUAGAGGCUUCCUCCCUGUGCGUGGCACUGGAGCAUGUCACCGUGUCAAGCCUUGGCCUGUCUCUGCCCCAGGCCCCCAGGAUAGGCAUAUACUUCCGCAAUCCACCCGUGCUCAGAGGCCAAACCUGGUAUUGCAGCUGUUUUAGCUGGGAGUGGACGGGGGUCCGUCAUUUCAUGUGGCCCAGAAGUAGAUAUCGCCGUCCACUCCAAUACAAGUGGGGAACAGGAUUGUGUCUCCGCAAAAAAUGUCUGGAUAUCAAUCAAAGGCUCAUAAUUAUCUUUCUACCCUGUUCUAAAAAAAGGUAAGUUUUUUCUUUUCAAAACGCCUCCUCAAGCGUUUUAUUAGCAGUUGAUGUUGGGUGGGCAGCUGAAAGGAGCCGUACUGAAACAAACGGCUCCUUGCUAUGGACCUAUUUUGAAGUGCACGGCUCCAUUAACUUCCGAAUUAAAUUAAAUUCCGAAUUAACUCCAUUAACUUCCAAAGUCUGAGAUUUGUCCUUUUACUUAACAUGAAUGGCGUUGAACACGGAUAUAUAACACACAUCAUUGAAAUAGCUGUAACAGGCACGGACGUAUUGAUUACCUGAAUGAUUAUGGGAGACCUACGUAAUUUUCAUAAUAUUGUUAAUUGUCGAAUAUUAACAUUUCAGUUGCGUUGGUAGGUAUUUCAUUUUCAUUUGCUUGUUUAGCUAUGUAUGACAGGGUUAUGGUUAGCUAUGUAUGACAAUUGACAAUGUUGGUGUAUUACAAUUCAAUAUUUGGGUAGGCUACUCCAACUUCGUUGCUGGUCGAUAUGUAAACAUUUACUUUUAUAUAAAUUAUUGAUUGCAUUCUUCGUAAAAUAGUUAGUUGGAAGGAAUCUGUUUCUUAAGCAAUAACAUUGAACUGAAUUUUUUAGGCCUAUACGUUUACUAUGUUACUAUGGUAUUAUAUGGAGCAAUCUUACAUAUUUAUGAAGUUUCCAG